GAUGAACGCUAGCGGCAGGCUUAAUACAUGCAAGUCGAGGGGCAGCAUGAGUGUAGCAAUACAUUUGAUGGCGACCGGCAAACGGGUGCGGAACACGUACAGAACCUCCCUUCGAGCGGGGAAUAGCCCGGAGAAAUCCGGAUUAAUACCCCAUAGUAUGGUGAAGAGGCAUCUCUUUACUAUUAAAGAUUUAUCACUUGAAGAUGGCUGUGCGGCUGAUUAGGUAGUUGGCGGGGUAACGGCCCACCAAGCCUGCGAUCAGUAACUGGUGUGAGAGCACGACCAGUCACACGGGCACUGAGACACGGGCCCGACUCCUACGGGAGGCAGCAGUAAGGAAUAUUGGUCAAUGGACGAAAGUCUGAACCAGCCAUGCCGCGUGGAGGAUGAAGGUCCUCUGGAUUGUAAACUUCUUUUAUAUGGGACGAAAAAAGGCUUUUCCAGGUCGUCUGACGGUACCAUAUGAAUAAGCACCGGCUAACUCCGUGCCAGCCGCCGCCGUAACAC
rnacentral:rRNA from 1 species